AAUAAAUAGCUGACCUCAUCUAACAUCCCUACAAAUUUUGUUGCAAACAAGUAAGGACAAAUGCUCAAUAAAUGGGUUAUCUGGUUAAAGCGACCUUGGAUUGGAAAUAAGAGAACACUGAAGAAGUGGAUAAUGAAGUUAAAUAAAGUGUUGGGUAAAUUGCAGAAAGAUCUGUGGGAUGUGAUACACAGAUAGCAGGCAACUACAACAUUCCUAGAGUGGACAUGCAAGGGGAUGUUUGGUCCAGCCAGUCGGAACUUCCUGUUUCCUCCUGGGCUGGGACAAACUUCCUUUAGCAUGUGACUAGAGGUGGGCGUGACCUUACCUGCCCAGGUAACAAAAAGGCAAGACAGGCAGCACCCUCUCUCUUCUCCAUCUUGCUUUCGUCACGUGAGCUGCAGUGACUGCUAGUCUGCAGUCACUGGGACUAACUCCCAUAUGGGGUAGUUCCACAUGUAUAUGCUCUGUAACUAAGUCUGCCUUCAGAGAUCCAUCUGUGAACUGAAUGUGUGAGUAAACUUCUUUUAUAUACUUUACACAAGAUUGUGCCGUGUCUAUUCUUUUUAAGGAGGAUAUGGGGGAACUACCAGGAAUCUAAUAUGAAGAGGCUUAAGCAAGAAUGCAACCAGCUGUCCGCUGUGCGUUUAAAAGGGGAAUGUAAAACUCUGCUAAGAAAAGGAACUUGCAAACGCAAGUUAGGAAGGGUAUUAUUAAUCAAUAUAUCCUCUCCUGCCUCCCUGAACAUUCCCACAAGAUCCUGGUCUAAUCUGCAAAGCAACAUCCACCUCCUUUAAAUGGGAUUUGAGUCCAAAGGUUGGGAUUCACCAUAAUAAUCAGUGGCCUCAAUUCCACUUAACUAAGAGAGCAACAUUAUGUACCUGCUACACCACUACUAAAUAGCCAGAGUAUCCAAUGUACACCCAGCUCAGGAGGGCAGCAGAAAAGCACACAAGUAGGAAACUUUGAAAAGAUGGGGAUAUGGCACCUGUCUCCAUCAAUCAGGAACAAUACUAUUAACUCUGCCCAGACACUAAGAGUAAUGGUGACACACUUGUCAAUCUGGGAAUGCAGUCCAUCUAGGGGAAGGAAAACUCUGAUCCUAAACCUCCUCUGCCUUGUGGGGCAUCUUCGGGAGAAGAAAAGUGUUAAGUUGUGGGUGAACAUAUCAGACGACACAGCGAUUCUCCAAACAACUCUUGCUUAUUCACAGGUCAGAACAGAACUGAACUGAAGGGUUCAGCCAGCCUGCUUAUAUAGAGCUCCAGUACAACGUAACUGUAACAACUUUCUGUAACUAUCCAAUCACUGAACGUCACUUUUGAUCCCUUAUUUGCAUAUGUGGACCUGAACUAUCUACAGUAUCCCCCUGCUGGCCCAGGGUGAGAACUUCAGUACAUAACAAAAAGGCCGAGGAGUAAACCCUACACAAAUCCAGAGUGGACUCCCUAAAAUGGUUGGACGGCACCUUGUACGCCUCCUUGCGGCAACUCCUGCAGCCAAGCUGGUGCCAAAUGCAUUGCUCUGCUUUUCUUUGGACUAAAUCAGCGAGGCCAAGAGGUGGGCCUUGUCAUCUGGGCAGCCCAGGAUCUCUAUACACACUGCCCAGGCUUGCGCCCAGGAAGCUCACUUCAGUGCUGCUAACGCAGCAGAAACAACGUGGGAGGCAGCAGUUCCGAGUUACUGGUCUUUGCAGGCACUGUGAUUCGCCAAUAGUUUGACUUCACCCACAGAGGCGCACUCCAUUUUCUCUUGAGACAGAUGGAUGCCAACCACCCCCAGCAUAUAUUAUUAUUCUUUUCUUAUUAUUUAUUGGAUUUAUAAACUGUCUCAGGGCGGUUCACAGAAUAAAAUCAAGAUAAAAAACCACAAAAUACAGUGGUGCCUCGAAUUAAGAACUUAAUUCGUUCCACAGGUCCGUUCUUAACCUGAAACUGUUCUUAACAUGAAGCACCACUUUCCCCAAUGGGGCCUCCCGCUGCCACCGCUGCACGAUUUCUGUUCUCAUCCUGAAGAAAGUUCUUAACCCGAGGUACUAUUUCUGGGUUAGCGGAGUCUGUAACCUGAAGAGUCUGUAACCUGAAGCGUAUGUACCAUAUUUUUCGCACCAUAGGAUGCACCGGACAAUAGGAUGCACUUUUAGAGGGGGGAGAACAAGAAAAAAAAAUUCUCCCCCUCUCUGCCCAGCGCCCCUUCAGCGAAGCGGCAGGAGGCGCUGCGCAGAGAGGGGGAGAACUUUCCCCCUCUUGUUUUCCCGCUCUAAAACAAUGUGCCGCUUAAGGUGCGUUCAGGCGGCUACCUUGGAAGCCUGGAGAGCGAGAGGGGUCGGUGUGCACUGACCCCUCUCGCUCUCCAGGCUUCAGGUUCCUUUCGACCUGCUCUUUGGGGCUGGCGGGGGGAAGCCCACCACCAGCCCCAAAGAGCAGGUCAGGGAGCAGCGGAAAGGGGCAGCGGAGAGGCUCCUGCCAUAGCCGCGCGUCACCUCUCCAGCCAGGAGAGGGUCGCGGGGCUAUGGCUUCUUUAGCCCCGCGCGCGCUCUCCCGGCUGGAGAGGUGAUGCGUGGCUAUAGAGGCUCCUGCCAUAGCCGCGCGUCACCUCUCCAGCCGGGAGGGGGUCGCGGGGCUAUGGCGUCUUCGCUCCAUAGGACGCACACACAUUUCCCCUUCAUUUUUGAAGGGGAAAAAGUGCGUCUUAUAGAGCGAAAAAUACGGUAACCACUGUACAUAAUAAAAAGAAAAACAACAACCCAAUAGCCCCACCCGCAAAAACCCCACAUUUUAAAAGGGCAUAGGAUGUAAAUCAGGUCAGCCAAAGACCUGGUUAAAAAGGAACGUUUUUGCUUGGCACCUAAAGGUGUAUAAUGAAGGCACCAGGUGAACUUCCUUGGGGAGAGCAUUCCACAGACGGGGAGCCACUGCAGAGAAGGCCCCGUUCUUUUGUUGCCAUCCUCCAGACCUCUCGAGGAGGAGGCACAUGAAGGAGGCCCUCGGAAGAUGAUCUCAGGGUCCAGGUAGGUUCAUAUGGAAAGAGGUGGUCCUUGAGGUAUUACGAUCUGAUUCAGGGAUAUAUCCAUGCAUCACCAAGACACAAAUGCAAGAUGAUGCCACAGCAUCUCCACCAACACUCCUUGUGUAAAUGUGUAGCUUCUUUUUGCAGGCAAGGUAGAGAAGAGAUGUAUUGCCUGACUGCUUAUGGUGGUGACUUAACAGAUUUGCGGCACACCUAAUUGGGGUGUUGCCCUUUAAGAAACCACAGCAAUUCUUGCUGAAUUAAUUGGUCUAAUUUGUUGGCGAUGGAGGAGUGUGCCUGGGGGAGUGAAGUCAAAUGGAGCCGAUAUAUUGAAAGUCUGAAGAGUACAAACCACUUCUUUGUACGCUUCACACAAUAAAUCCCAGCCGGCUGAGUGCCAGGGCAGGGAGAUUCUGAGAACAGCAUACCAUGAGAAGUAUGUCUUGCGGUAAAGUAAAGCGGACACUGGUAUCAGUCAUUAGCCAUGGGUGGUGCCAGAACAGGAAGCCUCUGAACAUACCCAAGAGCACCUUGCCAAGGGAAAAGUGCUAUGUAGUCACGAAGUUGCCUGCAUGGUACAAUGAAAGGAAGCCUCUGGGCAUGCACUGAGUGCAACAGAACUAACUGAGCCUUCGCAGCCUGUGCUUCCGGACUUGCAGAACAGUAUAUCUAUAAACUUUUGGGGGGUGGGGAAUGAAAAAGGAGUACAGUGGGCAUUGAAACGACAGGUAGAACCUAUGCCAGCUGCAGAGGACAUGCCCUCUGUGUGGACGGGGCCAAUUAAUUUAACAAUUGUUUGUGCAGCUGGUGUAGCAUGCAGUUAUGGAUAUUCCGAAAGCGCCGUUAAUCAUCCCCAAACCUCAGCACUCCCAAAACUGAAAUGUGUGUGCAGAGACAGGCUGCACACUGUGUAUAUACCGUAUUUUUCGCUCUAUAAGAUGCACCUGACCAUAAGACGUACAUAGUUUUUAGAGGAGGAAAACAAAAAAUAUUCUGAACGAAACAGUGGAUGUAUGAUUUUUUGGGUGCAGGCUGUAGCCAUGGACAUGCUAUGUGAUCUGAUGGUGAAUUUGGGGUGACCCAAUGGAAAAAUCCUGAGGAUCCUUGUGGAUCUGUGCUUUGUAACCACAUUUUUGCACCAUUGCAGCCCCAGGAAACAGUGGAUGCGUGAUUUUUUGGGUGCAGGUUGUAGCCAUGGACAUGCUAUGUGAUUUGAUGGUGAAUUUGGGGUGACCCAAUGUAAAAAUCCUGAGGAUCCAUGGACUUUUACCUCCCCUCUCCCAGGCAGCCUCCGCUAGCCUCCCUUAUCUCUCUCCCGAUCCCACCCAUCAGCUGCUUCCUUUCAACACUCCCUUCCCUCUUGUUUGCCUUAGUGUCUUUUCCUUAGCUGGAGCAGUUUUUUGCUCCUCCUUUUCUUUCUAAUUUCUCCUUGUCUAAUUUCUCCUUUUCUUUCUAAUUUCUCUCCUCAUUGAUUUUGUCUUCCUGUUUCCGCCCUUUGCAAGUUUGCUGUCUUCACCUCCCCCCUCCCAGGCAGCCUCCUUUAUUGCUAGCAUCCCUUAUCUCCCUCCUCGAUCGCUUGCUGAUUAGUAGCUUUGUUUCCACACCCACUUCCCUCUAAAAAAAAAAAGAAAAAAGCAUGACCUGCUUUUUGCCCCUGGGCAAUUUGGCUCCAGGGACCACGCAUUUGCUCCAUAAGACGCACAGACAUUUCCCCUCACUUUUUAGGAAGAAAAAAGUGUGUCUUAUGGAGCGAAAAAUACAGUACAUACACACAGUCUCCCCUCCAAUUUUUUAAACACAGCAGUUAUGUUGCUCUGGACAGGCAACUUUCUUUGGAGAGCCAGAGCCUUUGCUUAGUGAGACCAACACAGACCCUCCAAGUGUCCCUAUUUUCCAGGGACAGUACCAGAUUUACAGAAGCUGUCGCAGUUUCUGAUUUGAUCCCGGAAUGUCCUGCUUUUCCUUAGGAUGUCCCUGUUUUCUUUUUUUUUUUUUUAAGCAAUUUAUUGGGUUUUACAAUAAAAAUAAACAUAAUAAACAAUAUAACAUUUGUCUUAACACAGUUUCACAUUUUCUUUGGACUUCCUCACAUCCCCCGCUCCCACUUUCAUCGUUAUAACAUUUUGUCAGCAAUUUAUCAUCUUAUUUAAAUUCUUAUAUCUCUUCAAUGUUUCAUAAUCUUAUGGUUCUCAUAAAGAGUUAAACUUUCACAGUCUUACUUGUUUUCUUAAAAAACUUCUAAGUUAAGUGGUGCUCAGUUAUUUAGUCUAGCAUCUUAUUUAGCAUUCACUCAAAUCACAAUAUUUUUGUAGAUAGUUCUUAAAUUUCUUCCAAUCCUCCUCGAUUCUCUCUUCUCCCAGGUCACGGAUUCUGCCAGUCAUUUCAGCCAGUUCCAUGUAGUCUAUCAGUUGCAUCUGCCAUUCUUCCAGUGUGGGUAAAUCUUGAGUUUUCCAGUGUUUUGCAAGAAGUAUCCUUGCUGCUGUUGUUGCAUACAUAAAAAAUGUCUGGUCCUUCUUUGCCACCCCUUGGCUGACAAUACCCAGAAGGAAGGCCUCUGGUUUCUUGGUAAAGGUAUAUUUAAAUACCUUUUUCAAUUCAUUAUAAAUCAUUUCCCAGAACGCCUUCACUUUAGGGCAGGUCCACCAGAGGUGGAAGAACGUUCCCUCACACUCUUUACAUUUCCAACACUUGUUAUCAGACAGGUGGUAAAUUUUUGCAAGUUUAACUGGGGUCAUAUACCAUCUAUAAAUCAUUUUCAUUACAUUUUCUUUCAGAGCGUUACAUGCAGUAAAUUUCAAUCCAUUACUCCACAACUUUUCCCAGUCCUCAAACAUAAUAUUAUACCCAAUGUCCUGUGCCCACCUUAUCAUAGCCGAUUUAACCAUUUCAUCUUGUGUAUUCCAUUCCAACAGCAAGUUAUACAUCCUUGAAAGUACCUUAGUCUUUGGUUCUAACAAUUCUGUUUCUAAUUUCGAUUUCUCCACCUGGAACCCUAGUUUCUUAUCAUUUUUAAAAACUUCUUUAAUCUGAGCGUAAUGUAACCAAUCUCGCACUUUGUCUUUCAUUUUCUCCAAACUCUGCAAUUUCCAAUUGUCUCCAUCUUUGUCUAAUAUUUCACAAUAUUUUGGCCAUUUAGCCUCCAUAUUGGGUCUUUUCGGCCUUAGCUUCCAAUGGUGAAAGCCACCUUGGUGUUUUAUUUUCCAGCAAGUCUUUAUAUUUUGUCCAGACAUUAUACAAUGAUUUUCUGACAAUAUGGUUCUUGAAGGCCUUAUUUGCUUUAACUUUGUCAUACCAUAAAUAUGCAUGCCAUCCAAAAACAUUAUUAAACCCUUCCAAGUCCAACACAUCAGUGUCUUCAAGAAGUAGCCAGUCUUUUAGCCAGCAGAACGCUGCGGCUUCAUAAUACAACUUUAAGUCCGGCAGGGCAAAGCCCCUCUUUGUUUUACAUCAGUUAAUAUCUUAAACUUGAUUCUGGGCUUUUGCCCUGCCAGACAAACUCGAAAUAUCUCUCUGCCACUUCUGAAAGCACUCCGUUUUAUCCAAAACCUGAAGUGUUUGAAAUAAAAACAACAUCCUUGGCAAUACAUUCAUCUUAAUAGCAGCAAUUCGGCCUAACAAAGAAAGUUUCAAUUUUGACCAACUGUCUAGGUCUCUCUUAAUUUCUGUCCAGCAUUUUUCAUAGUUAUCCUUAAAUAGACUUAGAUUUUUUGCUGUUAUGUUUACCCCUAGGUAUUUUACUUUUUUAACCACAUUAAGUUCCGUCUCAUUCUGAAACCGUUCUGACUCUGUAUCAGUCAAAUUUUUCCCCAAAACCUUAGUUUUCUGUUUGUUUAAUUUAAAUCCCACCACCCGACCAAAAUCAUUAAUCAAUUGUAAUACUCUUUUCGUACUGGGCUCUGGCUUCUGCAAGGUCAAAACCAGGUCAUCUGCAAAAGCUUUUAGUUUAUAUUGUUUCUGACCAACCUGAAUUCCUUCCACCAACCGAUCCCCUCUAAUCAUGUUCAGUAGCACUUCCAGAACCGAAAUAAAUAACAAAGGGGAAAUAGGGCAACCUUGUCGUGUCCCUUUUUCAAUUUUAAACUCUUCUGUAACCACAUUAUUAACUAUCAGUUUAGCUUUCUGUUCUGAAUAUAUCGCCUCAAUCCCAUUCUCAAAACCCCGUCCCACUCCCAUCUCUUUCAAAUUUCCCAUCAUAAAUUUCCAAGAAAUAUUGUCAAAGGCCUUCUCCGCAUCUAUGAAAAUUAAAACUGCUUUUGUAUUUAUAUCUGUUUGCAGAAGUUCCAAGAUGUCAAUAAUGUUCCUUGUGUUAGCAAACAGAUGUCUACCUGGGAGAAAACCGGCCUGGUCCUUAUGAAUUACUUCAUUUAAUACUUUUUAAAUCUACUUGCCAAAAUGUCUGCAAAUAUUUUGUAAUCCACAUUUAAAAGAGAGAUGGGACGGUAGUUCUUCAAUUGUGUCUUUUCAGCUUCUGACUUUGGUAUUAAUGUGAUGAACGCUUCCUUCCACGAAUCCGGUGCCCUCUUCCCCUCAAUAAUUUCAUUGCUGACCUCCAUCAAAGGUUGUAUCAAAUAGUCUUUUAAUGUCUUGUAAUACUUGGAGGUCAGCCCAUCUGGCCCUGGAGAUUUGCCAAGUUGCAUGUUCUGAAUAGCUUGUUCAAUCUCCUGUCGUGUUAUUUUAGAGUUCAGGAUUGUCCUGUUUUCUUGUGACAAUUUAGAUAGUCCAUUUUUUGCCAAAAAUUGUUUAAUCUCAACUUCGUCUUAGGAUGUCCCUGUUUUCAUUGGGGAAAUGCUGAAGGGUAUGAUGAGUGCUUUAAAUAUAUCUUGUGGACGUGGCCCAUGUUUCAGCUAAUACAGCAUGCUGUUCUCACAAUGUCUCUCUGGGAAUCCUAUAAACAGCACAAGACCACCCACAAUCCCUCAUGACCUCAACACACCUUUGCCUCAGGAGUUGCCAGCCACAUUUUCCACAAAAGAGACUCAAUACCUCAGGCCUGGAAGGACAAACCUUUGCCACCUAUUACACAAUGGACUAAAAUGCCCUUGCUACAUGUAAACUUAUUAUUAUGGGUUUGCGGGUGCCUUGACUCACCCGACGGCUAAAUUCCUCUCUCUAAUGGUGCUGGAUCUAGUGGGUGUUAAUCAAUGCUUGGAGUAUUAAGAUGGGCUCCCAGGUGCUGAAUUUAACAGUGUCAAAAUACAGGCCAGGAAUGUCCCGCUUUUCCUUAGGACGUCCCUAUUUCCACUGGUGAAAUGUUGGAUGGUACUGAGUUAUGCAACCUUCAAGCCAAGGAGGUACCGUAAGUAAGUAGACAGCCUUUAGAAAACAUCUGAAGGCAGCCCUGUGUAGAGAAGUUUUUAAAUGUUUUAAUACGCUUUUAUAUAUGUUGGGAAGUUGCUCAUAAUAAUAAUUACUCUUAUGGAGUAGGACAUCCCUAUUUUCAUCAGAGAAAUGUUGGAGGGUAUGUCAGACCCAAUUAGUGAAGUCAAUGGUCACGGAUGAGGAGGCCUGUAGUCCAGCUCUUAGAGUUGUGUAACUACACAACCUUUAGAAGACAUCUGAAGGCAGCCCUGUAUAGAGAGGUUGUUUAAUGGUUUUGUUGUUGUUGUUGUUGAAUGUUGAAAGUUCCCAAUGUUAAAAAGCCUCAGUUUCUUGGGGCUGAUGAUGACACCUGUUCAAAUAAAACCAGCAAGUUCAGGUUUUAUUCCCUGUGACCGGUUUUUUUAAUGUGACAGAAAGUACAGCUCUUCAUCCCAAUUAUCAGGGUUUUUGUUUUGUUUUGUAGCAUGACAAAAUGUGCAGCUUUUGCUCCAUUGAAGAGAAUCCUGAUGCUUUCCCUCACCCAAACACUUCCAUGAUAGGGAAGUCGUAAUUUCUCUAAAUCUCAAGAUGAAGUGUGUUGUCACUGAGAGAUUCCCCUGCGCCAAGCUGUCACUUCUUUUGCAGUGGCUGGUGGAUGUGCUAGUAUCUGGGUCACCUUUCCCUACCCAUCCACCUAUUUGCCAUUAGAUGAACUUUAUUAACUUAUUUUUCUCUUUUGUGUUUUAUUUCAAUGGAGGCUGAACACUCCCCUGUUAACAGAAAGAAGUUCUUGUGAAAACAUGUGGUCCAUUAAGGCUUCUCUAUCCCUGCUGUGGCACCGCCCCAACAUUUCACUAAUGUUUCAUCUUUUCUGCCUCCUAGAAAUCUUCUUUUCCUAUGCUCCCCCACAGAUCUUCCACUUCUUUUUUGUUUUUAAAGAAGCAGAAAAGCUACUCCACCCUGUGCUACUUCUGCACUAUGUAUGUACCUCUGUUACACAGGAGUGGAUUGUUGCCCAAUUUGUGGCCGAUUCAACGACUAAAACAUCCGCUGGAAAUUCAAUGAACAAGUUCAACUGGUAGCUUGCUGGGUCAACCAGGCAACACUGUCACAGCCUUGUUGAAGAAGAAGAAGAAGAAGAAGAAGAAGAAGAAGAAGAAGAAGAAGGGGAGUUUGGAUUUGAUAUCCCGCCUUUCACUUCCCUUCAGGAGUCUCAAAGCGGCUAACAUUCUCCUUUCCCUUCCUCCCCCACAACAAACACUCUGUGAGGUGAGUGGGGCUGGGAGACUUCAGAGACGUGUGACUGGCCCAAGGUCACCCAGCAGCUGCAUGUGGAGGAGUGGAGACGCGAACCCGGUUCCCCAGAUUACGAGACUACUGCUCUUAACCACUACACCACACUGGCUCUUGUUGUUUGGUUGCGGCCUGUGUUCCAUUGAUAUAUGGCAUUUCCAAGCUGUUGCAUCUUUCUAACGAAGCAAACUUACAUGUUUCUGUGGUUUUUAAACUUUUGGAGGGCUAAAAAUGUAACUUGAAAGGGUUGAGGGAAAUACACUUUGUAAGAGCUUAAAAAAGAA